UAGGGAAUCUUCGGCAAUGGACGGAAGUCUGACCGAGCAACGCCGCGUGAGUGAAGAAGGUUUUCGGAUCGUAAAGCUCUGUUGUAAGAGAAGAACGAGUGUGAGAGUGGAAAGUUCACACUGUGACGGUAUCUUACCAGAAAGGGACGGCUAACUACGUGCCAGCAGCCGCGGUAAUACGUAGGUCCCGAGCGUUGUCCGGAUUUAUUGGGCGUAAAGCGAGCGCAGGCGGUUAGAUAAGUCUGAAGUUAAAGGCUGUGGCUUAACCAUAGUACGCUUUGGAAACUGUUUAACUUGAGUGCAAGAGGGGAGAGUGGAAUUCCAUGUGUAGCGGUGAAAUGCGUAGAUAUAUGGAGGAACACCGGUGGCGAAAGCGGCUCUCUGGCUUGUAACUGACGCUGAGGCUCGAAAGCGUGGGGAGCAAACAGGAUUAGAUACCCUGGUAGUCCACGCCGUAAACGGUGAGUGCUAGGUGUUAGACCCUUUCCGGGGUUUAGUGCCGCAGCUAACGCAUUAAGCACUCCGCCUGGGGAGUACGACCGCAAGGUUG
rnacentral:rRNA from 1 species